rnacentral:rRNA from 1 species
UACAGAGGUCUCAAGCGUUGUUCGGAAUCACUGGGCUUAAAGGGCGCGUAGGCGGGCUCACAAGUCAGGGGUGAAAUCCCACGGCUCAACCGUGGAAGUGCCUUUGAUACUGUGGGUCUUGAGGGAGGUAGGGGCGUGCGGAACUUCCGGUGGAGCGGUGAAAUGCGUAGAUAUCGGAAGGAACACCGGUGGCGAAAGCGGCGCGCUGGACCUCUUCUGACGCUGAGGAGCGAAAGCGUGGGGAGCGAACAGG